ensembl:lncRNA
CCUCGACCAACCAACAAAAGGGUAAACAAUCCUAACCCUCGCAAAACCUAAAACGAUCCUGUUGCCAAGUUAAUAGUCCCUAUUCUCUUUGUCUGUCUGCAUUCUAAACUCCCGGGACACUGUUUCCAUGCACAUUGUUUAACAGACAGACGCGGCCUCCAUAGCAAUGACUGGCCAGGGGUUGAGGCCCUUUGUCAGAGAGCACUCUGUCUUGGGCGGGAUGGGGUCUGAUUUCAUCAUCUCUCCUGAGCCCUGGGAUAGUCCUCUGAUUUCCUAGGAAGUUUCUUUUAAUAGGAAAGGUGCGAAUGCCUCUAUUUCACUUCAUUAUGUCUUACCGCCUGCCCUUUUUGGCUUAUUUCCCUGAGAUUUUCUGGAACACUACUUCCCUCCCACCCCACUAAGACUUCAGGAAAUACAGGAAAUUAGCGGAGAAGCCUUGGCCGCCACCACGGACAAGCUCUUCAAGGCAAGAUGGCAAGAGGUGUCAUGAGGCUACUCACUCACUCCCGGAAAAAAUGAUUCCGAACGAGACACUCCUCCCAGGGAAGUCAAGCGGCUCUCUCAAGGGCCCUGAAGUCAGAGUCAAAACGGCUUCACCCCGAUGCGCUGUGUGCCUGUAGGCCUGCCAUUCUAAACCAGGGGCGCUGACAGAAAAUGAAAAGAAUUAGCAUUCCAGCUUGGCAGCUUAGGCAGAAGUGAGUCUCUGCCUUUCCAGCAGAACAAUAAAGCCCAGGUGCUGGAUGCACCUGAGACCCACCGGUUUCAAUCCAGGGCGACGGGGGUCGGUAACUUGUCCGUGAUAGUCGUGAUAAUAAUCGUGACAACAAUGCUAAACUUUGCGCGUCUGCUUAUCGAAGACCUACGGCAGGUCAGAGACCGGGCAAACCAUCCUGCAUAUGCGUUCUGCAGGAUCACAGAUGAAGAGGGGUCAAUGACAACUCAUCACGGCUAGCUUCUGGGGCUGGACCUAAUGAGCAGCCUCGAGAGAAGAGGAUGUGCCAUGAGUGGCCCUGUGGAGAAGUCCAUGUGGAGAGGAACUGAAGUCUUCAGCCAACCAACGGCGAAAACCUGAGCUGCGCAAACAGCCGUGUGGGGACUGGAUGGGACUGGAAGCUAAGCCUGACCCAGAGGAGCCUCGAGAAGAUAGCAGUCCCUUCCCGUGGACACCCUGAUCCCGGGCCUGUGAGUCACUCUGAACGAAGGCAUCUGUUAUGCCACACCUGGACUCCUGACCCACAGAAACUGUGGGAUAAUGGAUGCUUACUGUAGGAAGCUGCUACAUUUGGGGAUCAGUUGUGACCCAGCCACAGAUGGCUACUACACACAUGUUACCUGUACAAUGACCUGCUACAAAUAUGUCUUCAAAUCAACUUACCUUUCUGAAUAGAUAGACUUAUUUAGGAGGCAAAAAUGCGCGUUAGAAGUACAAGAGUUCGUAUCAGCUUCCACAAAUAGAAGGUUGACAAAAUCAUCCCGUUUUCUAUAUACUUUGAGGAAGACUAGCUGAUCGAAAGACUGGGGUUUUCCACGCCCUGAUUUGAAUUCCCUGUUCACUUCCUGUUAGCUGUGUGUGGUUAGGAAUAUUCCCUUUUGCUCUAAGACUUAGUUUCUUCAUCUGUACAAGAGGAAAUUUAUCUCUGUCUUAAAAUUUUUUUUUUUUUGAGGAUGAAAGAGACCAUUCUCACAAAAGCACCCAAUGACGACGAUGUUGAUGACGAUAUGAUCACAACUACCACAUUUUAAAAAUCCCUAAACACACACCAAACACCGUGCUAAAAGGAUUUCAUAUUGCCCCCAAACCUUCGGAUGUCACCAUAGACAUUUUGCCACCCAAUAAACUCAUCUGGAGAGGUUGAAUAACUCCGUUG